rnacentral:rRNA from 1 species
UUAGUGGAGCGGUGGAAUGCGUAGAUAUUAGGAAGAACACCAAUGGCGAAGGCAGCUUACUGGAUGUACACUGACGCUCAGGGACGAAAGCGUGGGGAGCAAACAGGGUUAGAUACCCUGGUAGUCCACGCCGUAAACGAUGACCAUUAGCCGCUAGAAUAUUUAGUGGCGCAGCUAACGCAUUAAAUGAUCCGCCUGAGUAGUAUGCUCGCAAGAGUGAAACUUAAAGGAAUUGACGGGGACCCGCACAAGCGGUGGAGCAUGUGGUUUAAUUUGAAGAUACACGUAGAACCUUACCCACUCUUGACAUCUUCCGCAAUACUAUGGAGACAUAGUGGAGGUUAACGGAAUGACAGAUGGUGCAUGGUUGUCGUCAGCUCGUGCCGUGAGGUGUUAGGUUAAGUCCUGCAACGAGCGCAACCCCUGUCUUUAGUUACUAACGGAUAAUGCCGAGGACUCUAGAGAGACUGACUGGGUAACCAGUAGGAAGGUGGGGACGACGUCAAAUCAUCAUGCCUCUUACGAGUGGGGCAACACACGUGCUACAAUGGACGGUACAAAGAGAAGCAAUAUGGUGACAUGGAGCAAACCUCAAAAAACCGUUCUCAGUUCGGAUUGAAGUCUGAAACUCGACUUCAUGAAGUUGGAAUCGCUAGUAAUCGUAGAUCAGCUACGCUACGGUGAAUACGUUCUCGGGUCUUGUACACACCGCCCGU